rnacentral:lncRNA from 1 species
ACGUCACCACCUUCGCGUCUUUUCUGGAGAGCGCGGGAAGACACCGAGAUGAACCCAGCAGGCAAGCUGGCAGGAAGUCAGACUGCGGCCCUUGCCUGAGAGGAUGACACAGGCCAAAGGAGAGAAGGAAAACAACAAGGCAGCCAGAGCUAGGGUCUGUGCUCAGCUCUGGAAGAUGCAGCCAUGGGUGAAUCAACUCUCCUUGCUUCAAGUUUAUGCUUCAUUAGGAGAGAUAAGAAAGCCAAGGCCUGCAGCGUGUGUUAGUUCCAGGUCAGAGAUCAAACCCAAGCCAUAGUAGUGACCUGAGACACUGCCGUGACAAUGCUGGAUCCUUAACCAACUGUGCUUGGCCCAGGAUCGAACCUGCAUCCCAGCGCUCCAGAGACACCACCAAUUCUGUUGUGCCACAGUGGGAACGCUCUCUCUCUCUCUCUCUCUCUUUUUUUAAUUGGUGGGGGAAGAAAAGGAUACAGUGAGACAGCUCAGUCCAUAGCCCACUUCUGGUUCUUUCUGACUAUGACAUGAAGGAUUUUUCAAAUCUUUGCAUACCAGAAAUCGCUGAUUUUUCCUUUCAAAGAGGAUUGCCUCCCACCCUGUCCUUGUUCUUCCCUAAGUUCCAUCAUUAGUUUCCCAGGGCCUUGCUGGGGGAAGGUUCCCCCCUCUGAGAAUAUGGUAGGAAUGAAACUUGCUAGAAAAAUGCGAAGCAUUCCCAGCUUUGCCACCUCCACAUGGCAGCAGGCUGCAAUGCUAUCUUUGUGCCUUCAGAUAAAGAGAUCAAAGUUUCUUCAAGAGCUGAUUCCCCAGGCUGAUUUGCAUGGGGGUGGGGUGGGGUAGGGAGUGUGAGGAUAAGCAAGAUAGGAUGCAAGUGGAAAUUUCUAUUUCAAAGGUGAAGUCUCCAGCAUGGCCAGCAGGACUGGAUCUGCACUAGCAAGGAACCAGCCCUGUUCUCUGGCUGGGGGAUCAGACAUAAGGUUUAAGGCAGAGUCUGACCUCAGUCUAGAAUUCUGGGAUGUCUACACUGGAAGGUGCCUUAGGCCUAGCUAAGCCAACCCACUCAUUUUACAGAUGGGGAUAUUGAGGUCUCAGAAGUGGCAGACUAGACCUGGAGACGAGUGCUCUUGACUUUUUUCCUGAAAUAUAUUUGAUAUAUAAUAUUGUGUAAUUGUGUAAAUUUAGGGGAUAUAACAUGUUAAUUUGAUGCAUUUUUAUAUUGUAAUAUGAUUGCCAUUGUAGCAAUAAUUAGCACCUCUGUCAUGAUAACUAUCCUUUAUUUUUAGUGGUUGGACCAUUAAGUUCUAGUCUCUCAGUAAAAUUUUUUAAUUUUGUCUUUUUAGGGCCACACCCGUGGCAUAGGGAGGUUCCCAGGCUAGGGGUCCAAUCGGAGCUGUAGCUGCCGGUCAACACCACAGCCACAGCAAUGCCGGAUCCGAGCUGCAUCUGUGACCUGCACCACAGUUCACUGCAAUGCUGGCUCCUUAACCUAAUAAGCAAGGCCAGGGAUCGAACCUGUGUCCUCAUGGAUACUAGUCGGAUUCGUUACCACUGAGCCACGAAGGGAACUCCAUCUCAGUAAAUUUGAUGAUUAUUAUAUUGCUGUCUAUAUUCACUAUACUGUGCAUUAAAUCUCUAGGGCUUAUUUACUACUCGUUGCAACUUCUCUUGGCUUUAUGUCCAGUGUACUUUCCAUGACCUCUUGCUGUUUUCAUCCACUAGUGUGUGAGUAUAUGGGUAUAGAUUCAUCAAUAAAUAAAACUUGAGAGAUUAAU